rnacentral:lncRNA from 1 species
UCGAACCUCCGACUUUCGUUCUUGAUUAAUGAAAACAUUCUUGGCAAAUGCUUUCGCUCUGGUCCGUCUUGCGCCGGUCCAAGAAUUUCACCUCUAGCGGCGCAAUACGAAUGCCCGGCCGUCCCUCUUAAUCAUGGCCUCAGUUCCGAAAACCAACAAAAUAGAACCGCGGUCCUAUUCCAUUAUUCCUAGCUGCGGUAUCCAGGCGGCUCGGGCCUGCUUUGAACACUCUAAUUUUUUCAAAGUAAACGCUUCGGGCCCCGCGGGACACUCAGCUAAGAGCAUCGAGGGGGCGCCGAGAGGCAAGGGGCGGGGACGGGCGGUGGCUCGCCUCGCGGCGGACCGCCCGCCCGCUCCCAAGAUCCAACUACGAGCUUUUUAACUGCAGCAACUUUAAUAUACGCUAUUGGAGCUGGAAUUACCGCGGCUGCUGGCACCAGACUUGCCCUCCAAUGGAUCCUCGCGAAAGGAUUUAAAGUGGACUCAUUCCAAUUACAGGGCCUGAAAGAGUCCUGUAUUGUUAUUUUUCGUCACUACCUCCCCGGGUCGGGAGUGGGUAAUUUGCGCGCCUGCUGCCUUCCUUGGAUGUGGUAGCCGUUUCUCAGGCUCCCUCUCCGGAAUCGAACCCUGAUUCCCCGUCACCCGUGGUCACCAUGGUAGGCACAGCGACUACCAUCGAAAGUUGAUAGGGCAGACGUUCGAAUGGGUCGUCGCCGCCACGGGGGCGUGCGAUCGGCCCGAGGUUAUCUAGAGUCACCAAAGCCGCCGGCGCCCGCCCCCGGCCGGGGCCGGGAGGAGGCUGACCGGGUUGGUUUUGAUCUGAUAAAUGCACGCAUCCCCCCGCGAAGGGGGUCAGCGCCCGUCGGCAUGUAUUAGCUCUAGAAUUACCACAGUUAUCCAAGUAGGAGAGGAGCGAGCGACCAAAGGAACCAUAACUGAUUUAAUGAGCCAUUCGCAGUUUCACUGUACCGGCCGUGCGUACUUAGACAUGCAUGGCUUAAUCUUUGAGACAAGCAUAUGCUACUGGCAGGAUCAACCAGGUAGGAGCGCGAGGGAGCCGGGAGAGGCCGCGCACGCGCGCGCGCACACGCGCCGAGGCGGCGGCGGCGGCGGCGGCGACCUCUCGCGGCACGGGCCGUGCGUGCCCGGGCGCGGGGCGCACGGAGGCGGCGGCGGCGGCGGCACCCGAGGCGCGGGGGCGGGGCGAGGACGGACGGACCCCGCCGCCCGCCCCGGCCGACGAGGACGCGCGCGCGGCGGCGUGGAGGGGCGGGGGCGCCCCUCGCGGCGGCCCCGAUUGACGGCGCGUGAGCGGGGCCGGGGCACCAGGCAGUCGCGUCGACACCGGCCGGCCGGCUGCCCGCGCACGCCCCCGCGGGCCGAGAGCCGGACCGAGGCCCGACCCCCGCCCCAGGGGUGGCGCGGCGCGCCGGCGGCCGGUCACGACGGCUGCCCGGGACCCGACCCGCGCUGCGACAGACACGCGCGCGCCAGAACGGGGCGCCGCGGGGGACGGUCCCCGCCCGCACGCAACGUCGCCGUCGCGCGGGCAGCGGCGGCGGACACGGAGGAGGCCGCAGCGGCCCCGGGAAGCGAGUCGCGCUCGGGGCGGGGCCCCGUCGGGCAGCCAGAACAGGCGACGACGGGGAAGGGCUCGGGAGAAGGCCGACGGCGGCGAGGGCCGAGGCGCCGGAGAGGCGGUGGCGGUGGAGGAAGGGCCGCGGCCCGCCGAGAGACGCGCUCGGGGCAAGGAGGGAAGACAGAGCCUCCCGAGGCAAGUCGGCCGCCGGAGCACACACGGGGUCUCACCGCCAGGGGCCUCCAGCACCAGGGGCGGUCCGCAGCGCCCGGAACGGCGACUGGCCCCGUCGCCCGCGCGCAGCUCACGGGGGCUCGGCCCCACCACCCACCUCCACGGCCAGGGCUCUCCCGCACACGGCGCCGGCGUCCCACGCCGGGCGCCUGGCGCACGGGCGCCACCCAACCGGAGCCGAGGCACUUCGCCCGGGCACCACCGGCCUCGGUGGCCGGAGGCGACACCCGCGCGGCGAGGCCCAUUUCGGUCCCGGCCGGUGGGCGGCGCGGCCAGGCGUCUGCCCGGGCGGGGAGCACCGGCGGCAACGGGGAGCGCGGCGCGCGCCUCGACGGAGGGAGCGCGGGCUCGCGGGAAGGCUCCCGGGGACGGCCUCGGGCGCGGACGGGCCACCAGGAAAACGCCUGGGACGCCGGCCGGCCUCAGCCACCCUUCGGCCUCCCGCGGGCCCGGCCCCACCGCCGGGGCCUACGUGAGGCGCCCCCGCCGCCGGGGGCCGCCCCGUCCACCCAGCCACCCGUCUGCCUGUCUGGUCUGCUCCGGGACCCACGUCCCGAGGGAACGCGCCCGAGAGCGGCGGCGGCCCCCACCCAUGCCCGCACGCCACCACCGGCUGCGGCUCGGGACGGGAGCGAGCGGAGAGCCAGCCGCUCGCGGCGGGCGGAGCCCGGACAGGGCCGGGCCCUCUCCCCACCCCAGCACGCGACGGGAGAACCACGCGCACGCUCGCGCACACGCGCGGCCCCGCGCCCAACGACGGCCCGGCCGGGCGUGACCCUCCCCGACUCGGAGGGGGGAGGCGCCGGCCGCGGUAGGCAAAGAGCGGCUCUGCCCACGCGCCACGGUGGUGGCGUCCGUGGCUACUACGCGCAGAGGAGGGGCGGCGGCUGGGGGUCCGGUACCCCAAGGCACCCUCUCGGAUCGCUAGAGAAGGCUUUCUCACCGAGGGCGUGUCGCCCCCGCCCAUCGUCCGCCAUCGGGCCCACCAAGGCGCUUACAGACACCAUGGCCACACAACGCAGGAGGGUCUGCGGUAGAGGUAAGGCCUAG